UACGUAGGGGGCAAGCGUUGUCCGGAUUUAUUGGGCGUAAAGAGCGUGUAGGCGGCCGUACAGGUCAGCUGUGAAAACUCGAGGCUCAACCUCGAGACGUCGGUUGAAACCGUACGGCUAGAGUCCGGAAGAGGAGAGUGGAAUUCCCGGUGUAGCGGUGAAAUGCGCAGAUAUCGGGAAGAACACCCGUGGCGAAGGCGGCUCUCUGGGUCGGUACUGACGCUGAGACGCGAAAGCGUGGGGAGCGAACAGG
rnacentral:rRNA from 1 species